GGUUACUGCUAUCGGUGUUCGCCUAAGCCAUGCGAGUCAUAUGUUCGUAAGAACAUGGCGUACUGCUCAGUAACACGUGGAUAACCUGCCCUUGGGUCCGGCAUAACCCCGGGAAACUGGGGAUAAUUCCGGAUAACGCACAUAUGCUGGAAUGCUUUUUGCGUAAAAUGGAUUCGUCUGCCCAAGGAUGGGUCUGCGGCCUAUCAGGUAGUAGUGGGUGUAAUGUACCUACUAGCCUACGACGGGUACGGGUUGUGAGAGCAAGAGCCCGGAGAUGGAUUCUGAGACAUGAAUCCAGGCCCUACGGGGCGCAGCAGGCGCGAAAACUUUACAAUGCGGGAAACCGUGAUAAGGGGACACCGAGUGCCAGCAUCCUAUGCUGGCUGUCCGGGUGUGUAAAAUACACCUGUUAGCAAGGGCCGGGCAAGACCGGUGCCAGCCGCCGCGGUAACACCGGCGGCCCGAGUGGUGAUCGUGAUUAUUGGGUCUAAAGGGUCCGUAGCCGGUUUGGUCAGUCCUCCGGGAAAUCUGACGGCUUAACCGUUAGGCUUUCGGGGGAUACUGCCAGACUUGGAACCGGGAGAGGUAAGAGGUACUACAGGGGUAGGAGUGAAAUCUUGUAAUCCCUGUGGGACCACCUGUGGCGAAGGCGUCUUACCAGAACGGGUUCGACGGUGAGGGACGAAAGCUGGGGGCGCGAACCGGAUUAGAUACCCGGGUAGUCCCAGCCGUAAACGAUGCUCGCUAGGUGUCAGGCAUGGCGCGACCGUGUCUGGUGCCGCAGGGAAGCCGUGAAGCGAGCCACCUGGGAAGUACGGCCGCAAGGCUGAAACUUAA
rnacentral:rRNA from 1 species